rnacentral:hammerhead_ribozyme from 1 species
GCACUGUUGAGGGGUCCCACAAUAGGAUGAAACGGCCGUCCAGUGC